rnacentral:lncRNA from 1 species
AUUCAUUGUUUAUCAUAGUUCGAUGGAGCGUGUGUGGUUUACCGGCACAUCGAAUAGGUGAUUGUUACAAUGAAGGCACCGUGUAGAUUUGCAUGGUUAUUCACACCCACUUUGUGAUCCUCGGUAUCCCAGUCACAAAUGAGAGGGGCAUAUCGAGAUUUAAACAUGCCAUUGAAAAGUUCAAUGAAUCUCAUCCAAACCUAGGAAUUCUCAAUACAUUUAGAACUUAAAGUUAUGUUUUCAUCGUGGAGAAUUAGUGAAUCGUCAUUCACUUACCUUCAAAUUGUUUGCAUGUUGGAUUACGGCAUCCCUUUUCUAAUAUGUAAAUAUUGUUGUUGGAUCCUAGCCCUAAUUUUUCUUAUUGGGUGAUAAUUAGGGAUUCAAAUUCUAAUCUAUCUUUGUCCUUUCUAUUUGUAGAUGUCGAACGCAAACAACGCUGCUGCUAGUUCCUUCACAUUGAUGAGCCUUUGCCAAAAGGUGACUUUCGAUGGAACGAACUUUAGCGAAUGGAUAAGAUACAUUCGCACGAUUGCUCGCUACGAGGACAAGGAGUAUGUCCUCGACGAGAAGCUCGAGAAGAUCAACCCAGAAAUCGCUACUCCGGCUGAAAUGACUGCUUUUGAGACUCAUGAACGUGAUGCGACGAAGGUUCAUUGCAUCAUGAUAGCCACAAUGAACGCUGAAUUCCAAAAGUCCUACGAGGACAUGUAUCCGUAUGAAAUGCACCAAGACUUAUUGGAGAGAUACCAUCAAAACGCGAGGCAGGAACAUUAUGAGAUCUUCACUAACAUGAUCUCCGCUAAAAUGGGUCAUGGAGAAUCUCUAACCGUACACCUGCAUAAGAUGCAAAGGUAUGUCGAUCAUUUUCGCAAGUUGAAUGUUGACUUUGGGGAAGACUUGGCUAUCGACAUGGUGCAUCACUCCUUGCCUCCGUGUUACAAUCAAUUUAGGAUGACAUGCCACAUGAACAAGGAGGAGGUCACCCUAAGUAAGCUCCAAGGUCUCCUCAGGGUUGCUGAGAGCAACCUCAAGGACAAGUCUGUUGCACCAACUCCCAAUCCACCGGCUGCUCCUGUUUUGGCAAUUGGGCAUGGUAGGGGUAAGAAGAGGAAGGCUCCGUCUAAGAGCUACCGCAAGGGAAAGUCUCGAGAUGGUUCCUCUUCUAGUGGGACCAAAGUUGAUCCUGCUAAGCCUAACCCUAACCCAAAGGAGCCAGAGUGCCACCAUUGCCACAAAAUAGGGCAUUGGAAGAGAAGCUGCCCAGAAUACCUGCAAGCCAUCAGGGAAGGAAAGAUCAAGCCAUCUUUCGCAGGUAUAUACACAAUUAAAUCUAAUGAUUCAUCUCAUGCUAUUUCUUGGGUCCUAGAUACCGGAUGUGGUUACCACAUUUGUUCUGAAUUGCAGGGACUAAGAAGAAAUAGGGAUGUGGAGCAUGGAAGAAUAAAUCUAAUCAUGGGGAACAGAAGAUCGUCGCCUGUGACCAAGAUUGGAGUGUAUUCUUUAGUGCUUAGUAAUGGUUUAUGUUUAGAUUUGAAUAAUUGUUGCUAUUCGCCAAAAAUGGCUAGAAACAUCAUUUCAUUUCAUGGUUUGUUUAGACAAGGAUUUAGAUUUUCUUUUAAUAGUGAGAAUGGUUCAAUUAUUGCUUAUCUAAAUGGUGUCUUAUAUUUUGAAGCAAUGCCAUGUAAUGGAAUUUAUGAAACUGUUAUGAUUGUAGAUAACCUAGGAAAUGAUGUUUUGUGCAUGGAUUCUUCCAAUAGUAUGGAUAAAGCAUCCUUGUGGCAUUGUCGUCUUGGACAUGUCAACAAGAAGCGCAUAGCCCAACUCCAAAAGGAUGGAGUGUUGGAGUCAUUCGACCUUAGGGAAGAUGACACAUGCGAGUCUUGUUUACUUGGAAAGAUGACCAAGUCACCCUUCACUAGCACAUGUGAAAGGGGUGAGGGUCUAUUGGACCUCAUACAUACCGAUGUAUGUGGACCGUUUAGAUCAACCACAAAGGAUGGGAACCGCUUCUAUGUGACUUUUACCGAUGACUAUAGUAGAUAUGGGUAUAUCUACUUAAUCAAGCAAAAGUCAGAAACGUUUGAAAAGUUCAAAGAGUUCAAGAAUGAAGUGGAGAAUCAAUUGGGCAGGAAAAUCAAGAUGCUUCGAUCCGAUCGAGGAGGAGAGUACCUAAGUCUUGAAUUCCACGAUUAUCUCAAGGAGUGUGGAAUAGUUUCGCAAUUGACGCCUCCUAGGACACCGCAGUUGAAUGGUGUGGCAGAAAGGCGUAAUCGAACCUUAUUGGAUAUGGUUCGCUCUAUGAUGAGUCGUGCUUCACUACCUAUCUCUUUUUGGGGGUAUGCCUUAGAGACUGCCGCCCAUAUCCUUAACCGAGUCCCUACUAAGAAGGUUGCCAAAACACCUCACGAGAUGUGGACAGGGAAAGCUCCCUCGUUGGCACAUAUCAAGGUUUGGGGUUGCGAGGCUUUCGUAAGACGAGAUACUCACGACAAGCUUGAACCUCGAAGUGAGCGAUGUAUUUUCAUCGGCUACCCGCAGACAUCCUUUGGAUAUCUCUUCUAUAGACCGAAGGACAAUGUUGUCUUCGUUGCGAGGAGAGGAGUUUUCCGAGAGCGAGAACUCAUAAGCCAAGGAGACAGUGGGAGGCAAAUCGAGCUUGAAGAGAUUCAAGAGUCGAUAGAUGAAGGAACCUCUACCGCUGGCACUCAACCCGAGGAGGAAACUCCGGUUGAACCGAUUGACGAAUCCUUACCUCUUAGACGUUCCGAUAGAGUUAGAGUUCAACCCCAGUUUUAUGGUUUUCAUAUUACUACCGAAGGGGACACGUAUAUUAGUGAUGGUACACUAAUAAAUCUUGAUGAACCUAAUAGCUAUAAGGAAGCCAUGGCAGGCCCGGAGUCUGCAAAAUGGAAAGAGGCAAUGGAUAGCGAGAUCCAAUCCAUGUAUGAUAACCAAGUUUGGAAUUUGGUUGAUUAUGUGCCCGGACGUAAGACCGUUGGGUGCAAAUGGAUCUUCAAGAAGAAGACCGACGUGGAUGGAAACGUACACACAUAUAAAGCGCGAUUGGUUGCGAAGGGCUUUACUCAAACUCCCGGAGUUGACUAUGAUGAGACCUUCUCACCAGUUGCGAAGAUUAAAUCUAUUAGAGUGAUGCUAGCAAUUGCCGCAUUUCAUGAUUAUGAGAUUUGGCAAAUGGAUGUCAAGACCGCUUUCCUUAACGGAAAGUUGGCUGAGGAUGUUUACAUGGCUCAGCCAGAGGGGUUUGUGGAUCCGAAGCAUCCGAAUAGAGUGUGUAAGCUUGAGAAGUCCAUUUAUGGACUUAAGCAAGCGUCUCGCAGAUGGAAUCUUUGCUUCGAUGAGAAAGUCAAAGAGUUUGGAUUUGUACGAAGCGAAGACGAAUCUUGUGUAUAUGUCAAAGCCAGUGGGAGUAUAGUAAGCUUCCUCGUUCUAUAUGUCGAUGACAUAUUACUCAUAGGAAACGACAUCCCGACUCUGCAGGAGGUUAAGUCCUGGCUCGGGAAGUGCUUCGCUAUGAAGGACCUCGGAGAGGCUUCUUACAUUUUGGGAAUAAGGAUAGUAAGAGAAAGAAGUAAGAGACUAAUUGGACUUAGUCAGAAUACUUACUUAGAGAAGGUACUAAAACGUUUUAGUAUGGAAAACUCAAAGAAGGGAGAACUACCGAUACAAAGUAAUGCCAAAUUGAGUAAGACUCAAAGUCCGAGUACCGAAGCUGAGAUAGCAGAAAUGAGCCGAGUACCAUACGCUUCCGCAGUUGGCUCAAUCAUGUACGCUAUGACUUGUACUCGCCCUGAUGUAGCCUUCGCUUUGAGCAUGGUUAGCAGAUAUCAAGGGAAUCCUGGCAAAGCACAUUGGAUUGCGGUGAAGAAUAUCCUUAAGUACCUUCGGAGGACGAAGGAAUGGUUCUUAGUCCUCGGAGGGAGUGAUGACUUGAAGGUGCGAGGGUAUAGUGACGCCAGUUUUCAGACCGACAGGGACAACUACCGUUCGCAGUCGGGCUGGGUCUUUACCCUAAAUGGAGGAGCAGUGACAUGGAAGAGUUCCAAGCAGGAAACCGUAGCUGAUUCAACGUGCGAAUCAGAGUACAUUGCAGCGAGCGAAGCGUCGAAGGAGGCAAUAUGGCUAAAGAACUUCAUCGGUGAUCUUGGAGUCGUACCUGCCAUAAAGGAGCCAAUGGAGAUUUUCUGUGAUAACGAAGGUGCGGUUGCCUUAACCAAGGAACCGAGGGAUCAUGGUAGAUCAAGACAUAUCGACAGAAAGUAUCACUUCAUUAGACAUCGUGUAGAAGAAGGACAACUCGUAGUGAAGAGGAUAUCAUCAGAAGAUAACCCAGCAGAUCCGCUUACGAAGGGACUGAGUAGGGUUAAGCACUUGCAGCAUGCUAGGAGUAUUGGGCUGAAGGAUGAUAUUAGCAUAGAUUAGAUAGUAUUAGAAACGUGUAAUAGAUAAAUGUAAUUGACAUUUGAUGAUUAAAUAAAGGAGUUUUAUUUAUGAGUAAUGUUACUAUCUUAUGUUAAUUGUUUAGCUAUUGUUUCACUUUGCAUGUUUUGACUUCCAGAAUAAUUGAGUUUAUUAGGAAUAAUCGAAUUAUUCAAAUGGUCCACAAUCGUUCAUAUGUUGGGAGUAGAUAUGAAAGAAGAUUGUCAUGAAUUGGUGUGUAGAAUGUCUAAAUGGUGUUAGACAUAGCAAAGGAUUGCUGCAACGUUCAUGAGUGCUUAUGAACUAGUUUUGAGCAUUGGAAUAAACCCGCGCUUGCUGGAAUCACCUUAUGGAAUACGAUAUAAAAGGUGAUCGCAAGACGAUAAUAUCAUAUAGUCUUAAAACCUAGAUAUAUGGUUUAUUAUUUGUUAAUUGAUUGUACAUUGAUAAUACGAAAACGCAUCAGUAACUUGGUGUUAUAAAACGUAUUGUUGUGUAUAGUUGGUUAAUGAAUAAGUAAAUGCAUAUAAGUCGAAGUUUAUCUGUAACUUUUAUCUAAGAAGGUAAAAGCGAUAUCUCGGCCGCUCGAUGAUUUGAUUUGACUUAUGUGCCGGGCCCGGUCAGAACUGAAUUGAUGUGUUCGAUUAAGUUCUAUGUCAAAUAAAUCAGAGAUCGAGAAACCUAAAUGCUUGACUAACCAUUCCAUAGGAUUGUCAGCAUGAUAUCUAACAGAGGACUGUACGUUCCCUUAUCUAAAGGACAAGAUUGAUUAGAUCAGAGUUGACAGCGUCUUUGAGAGCUACGAUUGCAAACCGAAUUGUACUUGUAUAGUUACUAGACUUAUCCAAGUGGGAGACUGUUGGAAUAGUGUCUAAGGCUGUAACUAUAUCCGGUUGUGCAUGGUCCUUUUGGGUUGCCUUCACCAUAGCAACUUGAUAGGAUGAUUUAUUAAGAGAGAAUAAAUAUUAUUAAUAUAUUAUGGGAAUAAUAUAAUGAAUAAUAUAUUUGUUAUUUGAUUAAUAUAAGUCAUAGAAUUAAUUAGAAUUAAUUUGGUGACUUAAAGAGAUUAAUUAAAUAAAGGGGUAUAAACUGUCAAUUGUUUGAUAGUUAAGCUUUAAACUGUAAAUCCAUUUGGAUAUACUAUGGACGAAUUCUAAGAGGAUUAGGAUAGCUAAAAUCGUCCAUUAGAGUUAUCUAGGAAUGGAUUUGGAUAGCCUUAAGAGAAGAUUAUCUGAUAGGGACUUAUCUGUAAUCCUUAAGGAGUCUACAAGUAUAAAUAGACCCCAUGGCUGAUGGAAUUCGACACUUGACCUAAAGUAAGGAACCUCUGGUCGAAAUUCCUCCCCUCUCCUCUCUCCCAAAUCAUCCUCCUUGCUUUGGUGUUUGUAAGCCAUUAGAGGAGUGACAUUUGUGACUCUAGAAGCUCCAAGACCUCAAGAUCAACAAGGAACUCAAAGGUAUGAUUCUAGAUCUGUUUUAAUGUUCUUGUUUAACCUAAUUAGUAAUUAGAAGUCUUGGAUUCAAAGCAUGUUUAUUAGAAAGCCUAGAUCCAAGCAUUAGGGUUUUGCAUGCGCACAUAGGAAAGUUCUUAUGGCUAAAACCCAUCAGUGGUAUCAGAGCCUAGCUUGGUUUUCUGUAAAUUGUUGCUUGAUUAACUGAAACAAACCUGCAAAAUUCGAAUUUUUGGUUUCUGAGUCAUGGACUCGGCGAGUCUCAAAGUGGACUCGGCGAGUAGGCCUGACUCGGCGAGUCCAUUUGUGCACUCGGCGAGUCCAGGCGUCAGGAAUGGCCAGAUUCGGGAUUUCUUUGUGUUUAUCUUAUCUUAACUUACCAUAAACUAAUUAGAUCAACAUUAAUUCGUUUUUCUGAUAAAUAUAACUAUUAUCUUGAUCUAGUUAAAGGUAAUUAUCAACUAAUUAAAUAUUUAAUUUCCUUAUAUGAUAAUUAAUUAAUUAUUUUGAUUAUUUUGGUAAUUAUCUUUAAAAGAAAUCUUGAAUAAAUCAAAUAUAGAUAAUUAGGAUAUUAAUUGUUAAUUGGAAUUAUUUGUUAUUUGAUCCUCCAUGUUUUAAAUGUUUAAAACCUACCCUCAUGUUUUGAAAUUUACUUUUGUGAUUAAAAGUUUUAAUUUAGACAACUUAAAUUUCAAACCCUAGAUUUUAAAAGUUUUAAAAUACAACCCUAUACUAAUAUGAUAUUACUAGAAUAAUAUAUAUAUGUAUAACUAAAUGCUAGUCUUACCGUUAGUAGGCCUCAUUCACGAAGCCGAUCUAUAAGGUGGGUAUAAGGUUGCGGCCUAUAAAAUGGCGCUUAAUGGGUGUACACUCACACCCACCGCUUGCUUGAUUGGUGGAGGGUCGUUAGCCGAACGGGUAGGAUAGGGCAACCUCAUCCUCUCAUUAAAAGUAUAAUAAGAAAUAUAAAGUAACUACACAUUUUUUUAAAAUUUCCCAAUCCUAGUUACUUUAGGAAAAGUGAAUUGAUGCAAUCCCAUGAAAUUACACUUUGCACCUUGCUAAGAUGUUAGUGGAGCGUGUGUGGUUUACCGGCACACUAAUUGGUUCUAAGCGAAGGUGGCAAAGGGUGAUUCAUUGUUUAUCAUAGUUCGAUGGAGCGUGUGUGGUUUACCGGCACAUCGAAUAGGUGAUCGUUACAAUGAAGGCACCAUGUGAAUUUGCAUGGUAAUUCACACCCGCUUUGUGAUCCUCGGCAUCCCAGUCACAAACAAGAGGGGCAUAUCGAGAUUUAAACAUGCCAUUGAAUAGUUUCAAUGAAUCUCAUCCGAACCUAGGAAUUCUCAAAAACACUUAGGACUAAUAGUUUAAGUUUUGUGAUGGAGAAUUAGUGAAUCGUCAUUCACUUACCUUCAAUUUAUUUGCAUGUUAGAUUACGGCAUCCCUUUUCU